AUUGAACGCUGGCGGCAUGCCUUACACAUGCAAGUCGAACGGUAACGGGCCUUCGGGUGCCGACGAGUGGCGAACGGGUGAGUAAUACAUCGGAACGUGCCCGAUCGUGGGGGAUAACGAGGCGAAAGCUUUGCUAAUACCGCAUACGAUCUACGGAUGAAAGCAGGGGACCGCAAGGCCUUGCGCGGACGGAGCGGCCGAUGGCAGAUUAGGUAGUUGGUGGGAUAAAAGCUUACCAAGCCGACGAUCUGUAGCUGGGCUGAGAGGAUGAUCAGCCACACUGGGACUGAGACACGGCCCCGACUCCUACGGGAGGCAGCAGUGGGGAAUUUUGGACAAUGGGCGCAAGCCUGAUCCAGCCAUGCCGCGUGCAGGAUGAAGGCCUUCGGGUUGUAAACUGCUUUUGUACGGAACGAAAAGCCUUCUUUUAAUACAGGAGGGUCAUGACGGUACCGUAAGAAUAAGCACCGGCUAACUACGUG
rnacentral:rRNA from 1 species